rnacentral:rRNA from 1 species
AUUGAACGCUGGCGGCAUGCCUUACACAUGCAAGUCGAACGGCAGCAUAGGAGCUUGCUCCUGAUGGCGAGUGGCGAACGGGUGAGUAAUAUAUCGGAACGUGCCCUAGAGUGGGGGAUAACUAGUCGAAAGACCAGCUAAUACCGCAUACGAUCUACGGAUGAAAGUGGGGGAUCGCAAGACCUCAUGCUCCUGGAGCGGCCGAUAUCUGAUUAGCUAGUUGGUGGGGUAAAAGCUCACCAAGGCGACGAUCAGUAGCUGGUCUGAGAGGACGACCAGCCACACUGGGACUGAGACACGGCCCAGACUCCUACGGGAGGCAGCAGUGGGGAAUUUUGGACAAUGGGGGCAACCCUGAUCCAGCAAUGCCGCGUGAGUGAAGAAGGCCUUCGGGUUGUAAAGCUCUUUUGUCAGGGAAGAAACGGUUCUGGAUAAUACCUGGGACUAAUGACGGUACCUGAAGAAUAAGCACCGGCUAACUACGUGCCAGCCGCCGCUGUAAGAC